rnacentral:rRNA from 1 species
GACGAACGCUGGCGGCGUGCCUAAUGCAUGCAAGUAGAACGCUGAAGAGAGGAGCUUGCUCUUCUUGGAUGAGUUGCGAACGGGUGAGUAACGCGUAGGUAACCUGCCUUGUAGCGGGGGAUAACUAUUGGAAACGAUAGCUAAUACCGCAUAACAAUGGAUGACACAUGUCAUUUAUUUGAAAGGGGCAAUUGCUCCACUACAAGAUGGACCUGCGUUGUAUUAGCUAGUAGGUGAGGUAAUGGCUCACCUAGGCGACGAUACAUAGCCGACCUGAGAGGGUGAUCGGCCACACUGGGACUGAGACACGGCCCAGACUCCUACGGGAGGCAGCAGUAGGGAAUCUUCGGCAAUGGGGGCAACCCUGACCGAGCAACGCCGCGUGAGUGAAGAAGGGUUUCGGAUCGUAAAGCUCUGUUGUAAGUCAAGAACGGGUGUGAGAGUGGAAAGUUCACACUGUGACGGUAGCUUACCAGAAAGGGACGGCUAACUACGUG